rnacentral:rRNA from 1 species
CCUACGGGAGGCAGCAGUAGGGAAUCUUCGGCAAUGGACGAAAGUCUGACCGAGCAACGCCGCGUGAGUGAAGAAGGUUUUCGGAUCGUAAAGCUCUGUUGUAAGUCAAGAACGUGUGUGAGAGUGGAAAGUUCACACAGUGACGGUAGCUUACCAGAAAGGGACGGCUAACUACGUGCCAGCAGCCGCGGUAAUACGUAGGUCCCGAGCGUUGUCCGGAUUUAUUGGGCGUAAAGGGAGCGCAGGCGGUCAGGAAAGUCUGGAGUAAAAGGCUAUGGCUCAACCAUAGUGUGCUCUGGAAACUGUCUGACUUGAGUGCAGAAGGGGAGAGUGGAAUUCCAUGUGUAGCGGUGAAAUGCGUAGAUAUAUGGAGGAACACCAGUGGCGAAAGCGGCUCUCUGGUCUGUCACUGACGCUGAGGCUCGAAAGCGUGGGUAGCGAACAGGAUUAGAUACCCUGGUAGUCCACGCCGUAAACGAUGAGUGCUAGGUGUUAGGCCCUUUCCGGGGCUUAGUGCCGGAGCUAACGCAAUAAGCACUCCGCCUGGGGAGUACGACCGCAAGGUUGAAACUCAAAGGAAUUGACGG